GUCAGGCUCAUGUCAAACACUAUGGACGUCCCUGAAACACACGCCAGCCAUGACUCCUGGGUCCUGGACAUGGAUGUGAACUCUACAGGCAGGAGGAACAACGUGACAGGAUGGAUCGCAUGAAAAAGCACCAACCAUCAAUCAUCAAACAGUUCGAGGCUUGCAGUGGGAAACAGUACCGUGCCACUGUGACUGCGCUCCAAGACAACUGAGCACUCCAGGCAUCCCGUCACACACUGAAUACAUGGACAUGUGGCUGGUAAGGACACACAGGAGCGUCCCUCAGGAAGCUGUUUAUCCACGACUGUUCUGCCACUGGAACCUCGUAUUUAUUAGUGUGACUGUCACGAGGAAGGAGACUAACCUAAAACUACCAUCUGUUCUGAAAUCUAACCCAGCCUCCCUCUACACAUCUAGCAUUAACCAUGCUGUGUUGACAACUACAAAACUGUGGAAUAAAUUGCCUUCUGUUCUAGUCAACCGAGCUCUGGGGUAUCACACGUUCUGUCCAUGCUCAGUACUGCUGACUGUAAUGUCCAACUUUAAAAUAAAAAGGGGUGGGGGGGGACUUUCAAAAGUAGAAAUAAUGGGAGUUGGGAUUGGUUGGAACAAAGAUGCUUCUGGGUGUCUUGUUGAAACUUCACUACAGAACUUGUGUAUCCUGUGCCAUAAUGUAGAGAUCUGUUGCUACUGUAAGAUGGAUUUUACCCACUGUCCACUUAAGUCGUUUCAUUGGCACUUUUGUUUUAGUUUUAGCUCCACUGUUUAGGCCUUGUGGGAGAUGUGUACUCUCACAGACACAGAAACCCAUUUCAAGUCCUGUUUGCUGCAUUUGUUCAUUUCCUUUCUUUGCCACUUUUUUUUUUUCUCUAUAUCUGGGAUACAGUUAUCUUUAAGGCAUCAGAUUUCACAUGCAUAAACCAAGAAAUGCCAUAAAUUGAUUUAUCACCUUGUUUACAGACAGAUCAAAUAAAUUUAUUCCAACCAAA